GUACGCACUUGACCGAUGGACCCUGGCUUGGACGGACGUUUGGACGCCAUGGACGGAGCCAGGCAGAGCCGUGGCUCAAGAUGUCGCCGGCGUCCUGAUCUAUGGAUCAGAUCCGGUGCUUUCCGGUAGUGGCGGCAGGGCACGCAGUAAAUGCAGAAGUUGGGCGCUGAGGGCAAGCUAUCCCCUACCCAGUGAAGUUGGAUCUUGCAUUCUUCAAGGCGGGGAACCGGUGGAGAAAUUUCCUGCGGGAAAGGGGAGUGGGCGGUCCAGCGAGCUCCCAGGUCCUCCGGCGAGCAUGGAGUUCUUGUUGCAGCCAUUAAACAGUACCACAACACUGCUAGAGAAGGUUAACGAGAACAACAACACCAUUGAGCCUCUUCACUACCUAGUCAUGGCGCCGGCGGAGGUUGAGCUGCCGGCCCCGGCGGCCUCAAGUGCAGACGGCCAAAUCUGUGUUGACGGCGCCGCUCCAGAGCCGGCCAGUGCAGACAAGGGUCAAGGUUCAGAGCCUCUAUAGAGCAAGUGGAUCCAAAAACUCCGGGGCGGACGCAAAGAGUGCGUGUUGGCGCUGCCGCACUAGGCUGAGCUCCCUUGCCCUCACAGGAUCUCAGCCCUGGAGAAAUCUGUCCGGCAAUUUGCAGAAAAACCAGGAGACUUUGUCAUUGUGCAAAGAUAGGAACAAGUUUCGACACACUUGGUGAGGUGUAUGAUUUUUACAAUUUAUAUUCAUGGGCGAAAGCAUUCGGUAUUAGGUAAGGGAAGAGCAGGCUAAAUGCGGACCGGACAAAAUGCAUGCAAAAGAUAGUCUGUGGGUGUGCGGUAUGACAGAUCUUUGAGCAUUUUAAAUAUCUUUCCAGCUCACUAUGAGAAAGCUCGUAGUGGAGUUAACUGAAUAUGUUUGCAUGGACCAUGAUGUGAGCUAAUCAGCGAUAAUUUUGUUUGCAGGGGAGACCGCUUACGUGAGCAAACAUCGCAACUAAAAGACAUGCUGGCAAAAUCUACACACGAACCAUGUUCAAGCAGUUUUGCCAUAUAGUAUAUGAGUGCGGAGCAUACCAGAUGGAAGAGAUCGAGAAAGGAAAAACGUAUAUUACAAUUCAUACCGAGGCAGAGCGGCGGGAGAAGUGGUGAGGAAUUUGAUUGUGAAUGCGGCCAGUUCACACACAUGCAGAUGCUCUACAGCCAUGUCUUGAAGGCUCUGGACUUUAUUCUUAUUGAGGAAAUACCUUGGAAGCACAUAGUGAAAAGAUGGACUAGAGAUGCCAGAGACAUCCUACCCCCUCAUCUGACACAAUAUCAGAAGGACAAU